CUUAACUAUAGAAAAGGAAGAUUCGACGAAAACAGUUCAUGGGUAUUUGAAUACACUUUUCAACCUGAUAUGUACCGUCAAUCAAGGAAUUCCAACAGGAAAGCUUAUGUGGAUAGUCAAUAAUAAUACUCUUAAUGAAACAGGAGAGUCGUCUGUAGUCUACUCUUUUAAACCUAGAAAGAAAGACCAUUUAAAACUAUUUACAUGCG
rnacentral:lncRNA from 1 species